rnacentral:tRNA from 2 species
UGGUGUGGCUCAAUGGCAGAGCAGCUCAUUCGUAAUGAGCAGGUUGCAGGUUCGAUUCCCGUCACC